rnacentral:rRNA from 1 species
GACGAACGCUGGCGGCGUGCUUAACACAUGCCAGUCGAACGGCAAGGCCCUGCUUUUGUGGGGUGCUCGAGUGGCGAACGGGUGAGUAACACGUGAGUAACCUGCCCUUGACUUUGGGAUAACUUCAGGAAACUGGGGCUAAUACCGGAUAGGAGCUCCUGCUGCAUGGUGGGGGUUGGAAAGUUUCGGCGGUUGGGGAUGGACUCGCGGCUUAUCAGCUUGUUGGUGGGGGAGUGGCUUACCAAGGCUUUGACGGGUAGCCGGCCUGAGAGGGUGACCGGCCACAUUGGGACUGAGAGACGGCCCAGACUCCUACUGGAGGCAGCAGUGGGGAAUAUUGCACAAUGGGCGGAAGCCUGAUGCAGCAACGCCGCGUGUGGGAUGACGGCCUUCGGGUUGUAAACCGCUUUCGCCUGUGACGAAGCGUGAGUGACGGUAAUGGGUAAAGAAGCACCGGCUAACUACGUG